ACUCCUACGGGAGGCAGCAGUGGGGAAUCUUGCGCAAUGGGCGAAAGCCUGACGCAGCGACGCCGCGUGGGUGACGAAGGCCUUCGGGUUGUAAAGCCCUGUGGGGUAGAACGAACUGGCAUCGGGCUAAUAUCCCGGUGUCUUGACGGUACUGCCUUAGCAAGCAUCGGCUAACUCUGUGCCAGCAGCCGCGGUAAU
rnacentral:rRNA from 1 species